rnacentral:rRNA from 1 species
UACGUAGGGUGCAAGCGUUAAUCGGAAUUACUGGGCGUAAAGCGUGCGCAGGCGGUGAUGUAAGACAGAUGUGAAAUCCCCGGGCUCAACCUGGGAACUGCAUUUGUGACUGCAUCGCUGGAGUGCGGCAGAGGGGGAUGGAAUUCCGCGUGUAGCAGUGAAAUGCGUAGAUAUGCGGAGGAACACCGAUGGCGAAGGACAAUCCCCUGGGCCUGCACUGACGCUCAUGCACGAAAGCGUGGGGAGCAAACAGGAUUAGAU